CCGUCGUGAAGAGGGAAACAACCCAGACCGCCAGCUAAGGUCCCAAAGUCAUGGUUAAGUGGGAAACGAUGUGGGAAGGCCCAGACAGCCAGGAUGUUGGCUUAGAAGCAGCCAUCAUUUAAAGAAAGCGUAAUAGCUCACUGGUCGAGUCGGCCUGCGCGGAAGAUGUAACGGGGCUAAACCAUGCACCGAAGCUGCGGCAGCGAACGUAUCACUUAAAACGAUUCAGAAGCUUACGAUUGACGGAGCGAAGCGACGUCAAAGCGUAUACAAAGUCGAGUCGGUUUAAGGAUACGUUCGUUGGGUAGGGGAGCGUUCUGUAAGCCUGCGAAGGUGGCCUGUGAGGGUUGCUGGAGGUAUCAGAAGUGCGAAUGCUGACAUAAGUAACGAUAAAGCGGGUGAAAAGCCCGCUCGCCGGAAGACCAAGGGUUCCUGUCCAACGUUAAUCGGGGCAGGGUGAGUCGACCCCUAAGGCGAGGCCGAAAGGCGUAGUCGAUGGGAAACGGGUUAAUAUUCCCGUACUUGGUGUUACUGCGAAGGGGGGACGGAGAAGGCUAUGUUGGCCGGGCGACGGU
rnacentral:rRNA from 1 species